rnacentral:lncRNA from 1 species
GGAACUCUCUCAACCAAAUGGAUUAGGUCCUCGCUAGCCUAAAGUCUUUUAAAAAGCAGACCUAAUUUGGAUCUAUAAAAGGGUGAAGUUUCUAUGGAAAACAGGACAGCGGUUCCUCAAAAGAUUAAGCAGUGAAUUACCAUAUCACCUAGAAACUCCCCUUCUGAUGUCCAUCAGCAGAAAGGUGGAUAACCAAACAUGGUAUCUGCAUGCAAUGGAGUGCUAGUCACCCUUAAAAAAAUGAAAUUAUGACAUGCGCUACAACAUAGGCGAAUCUUGAAGACAUUGUGCUAAGUGAAACAAGCCCAUCACGAAAAGACAAAUAGUGUGUGAUUCCAUUUACAUGAGAGUAGUCAAAAUCAGAGAUAAGGAAGUAUGAUGGUGGCUGCCAGGGGCUGGGCAAAGGGGUUGGAAGGUUUGUGUUGAAUGAAUACAGAGUCUUAGUUUUGCAAGAUGAAAAAAAGUUUUGGAGAUGGAUGGUGCUGAUGGUUGCACAACAAUGUACUAUGAUGUCACCAAACUGUACACUUAAAAAUGGUUAAAACGGCAAAUUUUAUUGUGUGUGUGUGUGUGUGGCCACAGUAAAAUAAAUCCAUUGGCUACUCUUUAACCCAAUUCCUCCAAGCCUUACUCAUGAUGUUCCUUCUGCCUAGAAAGUGCCACUUUGCAAACCUACCUCUGACCUUUCCCUGACAGUCCAAAGCAGAAUGUGUUGCUGUCCCCUCAGAGACCCAGCGGUUUUUUGUUCUCUCGGGCCCUACGGCAUCACUACCAUCAAACCUCUGAGAGGGUUAUGCUGGCAUCUCCGCCAAGGGAGGACGAAUCUGAAGUAGAACAGUCUACCCGCACAUUUAACUAAUGAAUGAAUUCGGUCCUGUACCAUGUAGAACACUCUGUAAGCAUCACUCUCUGUCCAGUGAACCAUUUUUCCAUCAAAGGAAAGGUUUUGCAGGAAGCAACUGUCAGAAGAUAAAUGGAGCAGGACUCUGAAACAUUGGGAUUUAAUAUGUUUUCCUUUAAAGUUGCAUCGGCUUGGUAUAAGCACUUCCAUUCCUAACAAUGUAUGGACAUUUUCUUUUGGUGGACUUUGGUCAGUGAAGUAUUGAGAAUGAGUAACGCAGUGUCUUUGACCAUUUUCAGUUAAAGAAAUGGGCCUUCUGAGGUCCCACAGAAUAUUCUACUUUCUCUUAAAUGUCGGGGCCCCUUAUCAAUAACCCAUCUUACAAAUGGGAAUACUGAUACUUCAAAAAUCUGAUAGGAGUUUCCAUUGUGGCUCAGUGGUUAACGAAUCCAACUAGGAACCGUGGGGUUGUGGGUUCAAUCCCUAGCCUUGCUCAAUGGGUUGGGGAUCUGGUGUUGCCAUGAGCUGUGGUGUAGGUCGCAGAUACAGCUUGGAUCCCACACUGCUGUGGCUCUGGCAUAAGCCUUCAGCUAAAGCUCCAAUUCGACCCCUAGCAUGGGAACCUCCAUAUGCCAUGGGUGUGGCCCUAGAAAAGGCAAUAAAUAAACAAACAAACAAAUAAAUAAAUAAAUCUGAUAGAUUUGUUCUAAGUCAUAUAAAAGGAGUCAAUAGGUAUAUGAUCAAGGGAUCUAAUAUCUCCUUCUUCAGCCCAUUACUUUUUACACGUCAGACCUCUCACCCUGAUGUUCUGUAUUAAGGUUGUUCUCAUAGUCACUCAGCCAAUCAAUAAGGGUUUUUGAGCACCUAUUAUGUCUCCAGCCCUGUACUUGACCCUGGGGAGAAGAGGGAAGGGUACAUAAAAUAUGUAAAAGGCACAGUCCGUGUUCUCAAAGUUUAUUAUCUAAAUGUCACAACCCCUAUCAAAGGGAUCUAUAAAAAGCAUCUAUGAAUAAACUCGGCUUUUGAUAUCUCAGACAAACAUUACAUGAAUCUAUAUGUACAACACAAUCUAUAAACAAACCGAACAGCAGUAGAGAAAAUUAAGGUAGAUUAGGAUACCAUCUGCUUGGCAAGUUAAUUAAGUUAAUAUUAGUCUACAAUCAAUGAAGGGUUGCAUUUAAGCUCCACCUUGCCCCAUUAAACCAUGUAUCCUUUUGUAAAUAAGAAAAUAAAAAAUAAAAUUCACAUUAUGUCUGGAACAUUAGCUAAUUAGGGGCCAUGUUAGCAAACAGCUAUGUGGCCUUCAUAUGUUAUAUAUUGAAAGGGAAAUUUGUACUUUCCACUCUGCAUCUAAAAUAACCCCUUAUCUAAGAACUAGUAUAGAACUUAAGGUGACUGAAACAGGUAUUAUCUGUUGGGGGGGCCUCAAAAUUGCCUUGAAAUCAUUUGCCUUUUAAUGCAUGUUCCUGAACUUGAGCAAGCAGCAUAGUCCAUUAACAAACCAGAUCCUCCACUGAAUGCCUUCUGCUUUCUCCC